GACGAACGCUGGCGGCGUGCCUAAUACAUGCAAGUAGAACGCUGAAGGAGGAGCUUGCUCUUCUGGAUGAGUUGCGAACGGGUGAGUAACGCGUAGGUAACCUGCCUGGUAGCGGGGGAUAACUAUUGGAAACGAUAGCUAAUACCGCAUAAGAGUAGAUGUUGCAUGACAUUUACUUAAAAGGUGCAAUUGCAUCACUACCAGAUGGACCUGCGUUGUAUUAGCUAGUUGGUGGGGUAACGGCUUACCAAGGCGACGAUACAUAGCCGACCUGAGAGGGUGAUCGGCCACACUGGGACUGAGACACGGCCCAGACUCCUACGGGAGGCAGCAGGAGGGAAUCUUCGGCAAUGGACGGAAGUCUGACCGAGCAACGCCGCGGGAGUGAAGAAGGUUUUCGGAUCGUAAAGCUCUGUUGUAAGAGAAGAACGAGUGUGAGAGUGGAAAGUUCACACUGUGACGGUAUCUUACCAGAAAGGGACGGCUAACUACGUG
rnacentral:rRNA from 1 species